UACAGAGGGGCAAGCGUUAUUCGGAAUUAUUGGGCGUAAAGGGCGCGUAGGCGGCCUGACAAGUGGAAGGUGAAAUCCCUCGGCUUAACCGAGGAACUGCCCUCCAAACUGUCUGGCUUGAGACCGGGAGAGGUGAGUGGAAUUCCCAGUGUAGCGGUGAAAUGCGUAGAUAUUGGGAGGAACACCAGUGGCGAAGGCGGCUCACUGGACCGGUACUGACGCUGAGGCACGAAAGCGUGGG
rnacentral:rRNA from 1 species